CUCGCGAUAGCUCAGUUGGUAGAGCGGAGGACUGUAGUGGAAAAUUAUCAGGCAUCCUUAGGUCGCUGGUUCAAAUCCGGCUCGCGAGA
rnacentral:tRNA from 1 species